CGUGUAGGCGGUUAGGCAAGUCAGAUGUGAAAGCCCUGGGCUCAACUCAGGAAGUGCAUUUGAAACUGCUUAACUAGAGCAAGAGAGAGGAAAGUGGAAUUCCUGGUGUAGAGGUGAAAUUCGUAGAUAUCAGGAGGAACACCGGUGGCGAAGGCGGCUUUCUGGCUCUAUACUGACGCUGAGACGCGAAAGCGUGGGGAGCAAACAGGAUUAGAUACCCUGGUAGUCC
rnacentral:rRNA from 1 species